CUUGCGCAGCGUACACAUGCAGUCGAGCGGUAACAGGGGUAGCUUGCUACCCGCUGACGAGCGGCGGACGGGUGAGUAAUGCAUAGGAAUCUACCCGGUAGUGGGGGAUAACCUGGGGAAACCCAGGCUAAUACCGCAUACGUCCUACGGGAGAAAGGGGGCUUUGGCUCCCGCUAUCGGAUGAGCCUAUGCCGGAUUAGCUGGUUGGUGAGGUAAUGGCUCACCAAGGCGACGAUCCGUAGCUGGUCUGAGAGGAUGAUCAGCCACAUCGGGACUGAGACACGGCCCGAACUCCUACGGGAGGCAGCAGUGGGGAAUAUUGGACAAUGGGCGAAAGCCUGAUCCAGCCAUGCCGCGUGUGUGAAGAAGGCCCUCGGGUUGUAAAGCACUUUCAGUGAGGAAGAACGCCUGUCGGUUAAUACCCGGCAGGAAAGACAUCACUCACAGAAGAAGCACCGGCUAACUCCGUGCCAGCAGCCGCGGUAAUACGGAGGGUGCAAGCGUUAAUCGGAAUUACUGGGCGUAAAGCGCGCGUAGGUGGCUUGAUAAGCCGGUUGUGAAAGCCCCGGGCUCAACCUGGGAACGGCAUCCGGAACUGUCAAGCUAG
rnacentral:rRNA from 1 species